rnacentral:rRNA from 1 species
CAAUGGACGAAAGUCUGAUGGAGCAACGCCGCGUGAGUGAAGAAGGUUUUCGGAUCGUAAAACUCUGUUGUAAGGGAAGAACAAGUACGGUAGUAACUGGCCGUACCUUGACGGUACCUUAUUAGAAAGCCACGGCUAACUACGUGCCAGCAGCCGCGGUAAUACGUAGGUGGCAAGCGUUGUCCGGAAUUAUUGGGCGUAAAGCGCGCGCAGGCGGUCCUUUAAGUCUGAUGUGAAAGCCCACGGCUCAACCGUGGAAGGUCAUUGGAAACUGGGGGACUUGAGUGCAGAAGAGGUUAGUGGAAUUCCAAGUGUAGCGGUGAAAUGCGUAGAGAUUUGGAGGAACACCAGUGGCGAAGGCGACUAACUGGUCUGUAACUGACGCUGAGGCGCGAAAGCGUGGGGAGCAAACAGGAUUAGAUACCCUGGUAGUCCACGCCGUAAACGAUGAGUGCUAAGUGUUAGGGGGUUUCCGCCCCUUAGUGCUGCAGUAAACGCAUUAAGCACUCCGCCUGGGGAGUACGGCCGCAAGGCUGAAACUCAA